rnacentral:rRNA from 1 species
UUUGAUAAUAAUAUAAAGUAGGGCCUGCCCACUGAAAUUUUAAAGGGCCGCAGUAUUUUGACUGUGCAAAGGUAGCAUAAUCAUUAGUUUUUUAAUUGAAAGCUUGUAUGAAUGGUUUGAUGAAAAAAUAACUUUCUAUAUUUAAAUUUAAUAAAAAUUUUAUUUUUAAGUUAAAAAGCUUAAAUUUUUUUAAUAGACGAGAAGACCCUAUAGAGUUUUAUUAUAAUAAAUUUUUAAAUUUUAGGAAUUUAAAAAUUUUAAUUUUUAUUAUAAUUUGGUUGGGGUGACUAAAAAAUUUAUAGAACUUUUUUUUAUUUUAUACAUUGAUUUAUGAAUAAUUGAUCCAUUUAAAUGAUUAUAAGAAUAAAUUACCUUAGGGAUAACAGCGUUAUUUUUUUUUAGAGUUCAAAUCGAAAAAAGAGAUUGCGACCUCGAUGUUGGAUUAAAGUUAAUUUUAGGUGUAGAAGCUUAAAAAUUUGGUCUGUUCGACCAUUAAAACUUUACA